GUAGGUGGCGAGCGUUAUCCGGAUUUACUGGGCGUAAAGGGAGCGUAGGCGGAUGAUUAAGUGGGAUGUGAAAUACCCGGGCUCAACUUGGGUGCUGCAUUCCAAACUGGUUAUCUAGAGUGCAGGAGAGGAGAGUGGAAUUCCUAGUGUAGCGGUGAAAUGCGUAGAUAUUAGGAGGAACACCAGUGGCGAAGGCGGCUUGCUGGACGAUGACUGACGUUGAGGCUCGAAAGCGUGGGGAGCAAACAGGAUUAGAUACCCUGGUAGUCCACGCCGUAAACGAUGACUACUAGGUGUCGGGGAGCAAAGCUCUUCGGUGCCGCAGCCAACGCAAUAAGUAGUCCACCUGGGGAGU
rnacentral:rRNA from 1 species